ensembl:lncRNA
UUUUGUACAUCAUCAUGUCUUUAUUCGAGUGUAAACAAACUCCGAAAAGAGCAUCAGCCAGGUUCUUGAUUAUUGGCGUUAACAUGAUUAAUUUGUUUUGCAGUCGUGGGUAAAACACAGUCACUCCACUGCAAAAAAGGGUCCUUUAAACAAGUCAUCUUGCACCGCCUUCGAUUAUCUCAUUUCUUUUUGUUUCCAACAGUCUUAAAAAUUAAUGCACCGACCAUAACUUUAAACAGGCAGAUCGUUCUUUAAAAGAAAGAAAAAAACAAACAGAAAUAAAACAAAAACAACAACAAAUGCCCUCGGAGCAAGAAAAUGAAAUCACCUUCCUCCACACCCCACAUCGUUCACAAUAAAUAAGACUGUAAAACUGUAAAAAGCUGAAAUGUUAAGUUGAUCCUAGUUUGCAGUGCGUAUAAUAAAUAACAUGAUGCAUCCAUAUUGACCUCAGUUCAGUCUAGCAGGGUAACUUUAUCUCUUCAUUCUUGCUGUAUGCAGUGUUUCUUACUUCCGGCUAAGGUGCUGAGAGUGUGUGUGUGUGUGUGUGUGUGUAAGAGUAAGAGAGAGAGAGAAAUGCCAUCGCUCAGGAAUGUGAUUCAGUGUUGUUUUGUUGGUAUGUUAAUAGUUAUGUUUUGAACACGAACGUGUGUCCAGAGGCUCAUUAGGUUAGUAGUUGAUCACAAAAAAAAAUAAAUUUAAAAAUCAUUAAAUAUGUAACAAUUCAAGGAGCUGCAAAAAUAACCCUCUCAAACAGAACAAUUAAAAGUUGAGCAGCGAUCACAGCAGUAGUGUUAAGCUCAGAGUGCAACAGAAUCCGUUUAAUCACUUCCAUCAUACAACAAAUAUAUUUACAAUCAAAAAACAAAACAUAAAUCAUUAAAGAAUUAUUACCACAUUCAGAUUCAGAACCACAGACGAGUUACGGACUAGCACUGUGUGAGAAUGUAUUCAUAGUGUGUGUUUGUGUUACUGACCUAUUCUGACCUUUCCACGUAACAUCUCCCGCUGGCCUUAAUGUGGAAACUUCACCAGUAGCAGCCUCCGUCUUCAGUGACCAAAAAAGCGACGUGUGUACUGUUAAGUGAUCCUGAACUGUCCCAAAACACAAAAAGAGCAAAGCGACGUGGUUUUUUUAAUGUUGAAAUAAGGUGACUUAUGUGAAACUUGAUGCAUUCGGACGCAGAUCUUGAAGUGGUAAGGGUUUCUACCCUCAGCUGUGAAACUCUCAUGUCCUGUAUUUUUGCAGAAUAAGCCCAGAUUUCAGCACUUUAAAAAAAACAAAAAAAACAAACAUCCUGUCCCUGUGGUUCAACAACUAAACACACGUCUAAAAGAAACUCCACAUAUACUCUAAGGGUUUUGCAGAUGCAACAAGGCAGAUAUCAGUAUUCUAAAAGUCAGUACCCAUUUGUGGUUUAUUUGUUUUGGUAUUCUGUACUUCAGAGAGCCACGCUGUACAAAAUGCACCAUGAGCAAACCGCACGCACGUAUCUUUUGGAAACGGGAAUAAGUGGGGAGGAAGGAUUCUGUCGAGCUCUGCUGUUAAUGUUAUUUUGACUGCAGAGAAGUUGGUGCAAACCUGUUGGCUGGAUUUUGGCUCCAAGAAAAAAAGAAGCUUUCAAAUGCGGUUACAUUCUUGUCGGACCACAACUUUCACGCGUGUCACUUCUUUCCCGGCUGAAAAAAACAAACCGCGGUGUGGAGGAAAUCUGUCUCCAGGUCUGGCUUUGAAGACGGAGGCUGGUUUGCCUUUGACAAACUGCUUUCUGAGCUGGUGCAACUCUAAAAGAGCAUCCUGCUUUUGUUGUGUGAUGGUAUGCAUUAAUGUGGCUGUGUAUGUAUGUUUGUGUGUGUGCGUGCGUGCGUACGUGCGAGUGUUGAAUCCUUC